CGUAGAUUUUUUCAUCUCAACAUACAUAUCACACUGUGACGGAUUUCGUUCUAAACUCGAUGUUGUUUUCUGUUGUCUAACUUUUUAGGGAAGCCUUAGUUAGUUAUAUAGUGUUGCGUUAGUUGUAUUAUUAUAAGCUUUUGAAAUGCUAUUAUUUUUCUCUGGAAGGAAAUGUUUCUAGUUACGCUAAGGAUUAUUUGACGUAUUUUCGUUUCAAUCCAGUUAAAGGUUUUUGAAUCG